rnacentral:piRNA from 1 species
UGACAGGGACCACCGGAGAAUGUUGG